UACGUAGGGUGCGAGCGUUGUCCGGAAUUAUUGGGCGUAAAGGGCUCGUAGGCGGUCUGUCACGUCGGGAGUGAAAACUCGGGGCUCAACCCCGAGCCUGCUUCCGAUACGGGCAGACUAGAGGUAUGCAGGGGAGAAUGGAACUCCUGGUGUAGCGGUGAAAUGCGCAGAUAUCAGGAGGAACACCGGUGGCGAAGGCGGUUCUCUGGGCAUUACCUGACGCUGAGGAGCGAAAGUGUGGGGAGCGAACAGG
rnacentral:rRNA from 1 species